UUUAAAUGGCCGCAGUAUAUUAACUGUGCAAAGGUAGCAUAAUCAUUAGUCUUUUAAUUGAAGGCUGGUAUGAAUGGUUGAACGAAAUAUUAACUGUUUCAUAAAAAUUUAUAUUAGAAUUUUAUUUUUUAGUCAAAAAGCUAAAAUAAAUUUAAAAGACGAGAAGACCCUAUAAAUCUUUAUAUUUAAUUUAUUAUAAUUUUAUAAAAUUUUUAAUUUAUAAUAAAUAAUAAUAUUUUAUUGGGGUGAUAUUAAAAUUUAAAAAACUUUUAAUUAUUAAAAUCAUUAAUUUAUGAAUAAUUGAUCCGUUAUUAACGAUUAAAAAAAUAAGUUACCUUAGGGAUAACAGCGUAAUUUUUUUGAAGAGUUCAUAUCGAUAAAAAAGAUUGCGACCUCGAUGUUGGAUUAAGAUAUAAUUUUAGGUGUAGCCGCUUAAAUUUUAAGUCUGUUCGACUUUUAA
rnacentral:rRNA from 1 species